rnacentral:rRNA from 1 species
UACGGAGGGUGCAAGCGUUAUCCGGAUUCACUGGGUUUAAAGGGUGCGUAGGUGGGUUGGUAAGUCAGUGGUGAAAUCCCCGAGCUUAACUUGGGAACUGCCAUUGAUACUAUCUGUCUUGAAUACCGUGGAGGUCAGCGGAAUAUGUCAUGUAGCGGUGAAAUGCUUAGAUAUGACAUAGAACACCAAUUGCGAAGGCAGCUGGCUACACGAAUAUUGACACUGAUGCACGAAAGCGUGGGGAUCAAACAGG